rnacentral:rRNA from 1 species
GCGCUUGGCUCUCGGGCCGGCGGAGAGGGCCCAGGGCCGGGUAGGGUUGGCAGGCUAGGGGCCGGCUACCGCCGCCUCGGGCGCCGCCUGCCGGUCCUAGGGGGCGACCGCCUACGGCGGAGGCCGCUGCUGCUGCGGCGCCGCCGCCGCCUGCGCGAGGACUCGCGCCGGAGCCUCGUCGACUGCGACCACAUGGUCCCCCUCCAGAUGCAGAAGCUGGGGCAGGGCGGGGUUUUCCAAGUUCGACGAGACAACCACGAACCUCCCACACUCCACGGAGGACCAAAUCAUUCGUACCGACCCGGAUGACGUAUACGACUUUUCUCAUGUUGACACCGACGGUUUUCCCAACGAAGGAAUUACUCCAAAGCGCUCUUCUCCUUCCUUUCUACAAAACUAUUCUUUUAUUCUAUGCCUCACGCGUUCCUCCAACGGGUUUUCUACUUCGCCGCAUUUCCUGUCAAACGACCUUCCCGUCUAAAACCACUACGACGUUCAAGAAGACGUCGAACACAGAGACGUCAGCUACCGCUCCUACUAGUAAAGGCUCUUAGGGUAACAGUUUUAACACCACAGUCGAGUUCCGAAUGAGGUCGUUACGCAGCCCCGGGCCGACCGGGGUCCUGGGAGACAUUACGAACACCGAACUACACCCGUUUAUUCCCAUGAGACUCUUCAGGAAACUUACGAGGGUUUUACUGGCACGUCGUAGGACAGUUAGGCUCAUUUUACCUCUCACACCUACUACUGUUUCGUUAACACACACGACUCGCAUUAGUAUGGCGUCAGUUUUACCUAAGACUCUACAUUCGUUCGGAAGAAAUGACGUAGAGUCUAGUGACAGAAUCGUCGAUCCUCAUAUGAUAAAAUGUUCCAGGAGUUGAGGAGUACAGUCCCAAAUUUACCCUUUGGAGUACCGAAUACUCUCUAGAGAGUCUUGUGGUUGAUACACGGUAAUAGAUUGAAAGAACUAGGAAACGGGGAAAAAAACACACACCCCUAAGAUGAAAGAACUGGUCCUCAGGCCUUGUUCUUGUCUUUGGUCUUGACGCGGGCCGCUGACUUCCGCUGUGGUACCGACUAAGUACUGUUCACAUAUAUUUACUUUGUAUCCAAAAACAGUCUAUAAAGGACUGAAAUCUUUACUACAUAUUCCGUUGUUUUGAUUGUGUUCGUACGUAGCUGUACGGUGUAAAUAGGGGAGGUACAUAAUAUAAAUGUGUAACAUAUGGGUUGUCAAGACGUUACGUCUCUUAAGUCCUUACGUUAGUUAGGUAGUGUAAGAACCACAACCGA